GCUGUCAGAACUUGAUCUGGGCGAUUCUCUGAAUUCGGUGCUCUUUGAGUUCUCUGAGUAUUGAAAAAUAUUCCACAGAAAAUUAUGUUUCUAAUAAUUGCAUCUGAUGAAGGCAUAUUUGAACCUCAGAGAAAAUAGGAAUUCCCACCU